rnacentral:rRNA from 1 species
CUAGUCGCACGAGUUCAGACUCGUGGCGAAUAGCUCAGUAACACGUGGCCAAACUACCCUUCGGAGCUCCAUACCCUCGGGAAACUGAGGCUAAUAGAGCAUCCCACAUUCCAGCUGGAAUGAGGAAUGUGCCAAACGCUCCGGCGCCGAAGGAUGUGGCUGCGGCCGAUUAGGUAGACGGUGGGGUAACGGCCCACCGUGCCAAUAAUCGGUACGGGUCAUGAGAGUGAGAACCCGGAGACGGAAUCUGAGACAAGAUUCCGGGCCCUACGGGGCGCAGCAGGCGCGAAACCUUUACACUGCACGCCAGUGCGAUAAGGGAAUCCCAAGUGCGCAGGCAUAGAGCCUGCGCUUUUGUACACCGUAGGGAGGUGUACGAAUAAGGGCUGGGCAAGACCGGUGCCAGCCGCCGCGGUAAUACCGGCAGCCCGAGUGAUGGCCGAUCUUAUUGGGCCUAAAGCGUCCGUAGCUGGCCGCACAAGUCCAUCGGAAAAUCCACCCGCCCAACGGGUGGGCGUCCGGUGGAAACUGUGUGGCUUGGGACCGGAAGGCGCGACGGGUACGUCCGGGGUAGGAGUGAAAUCCCGUAAUCCUGGACGGACCGCCGAUGGCGAAAGCACGUCGCGAGGACGGAUCCGACAGUGAGGGACGAAAGCCAGGGUCUCGAACCGGAUUAGAUACCCGGGUAGUCCUGGCCGUAAACAAUGCCUGCUAGGUGUGGCUCCCGCUACGAGCGGGUGCUGUGCCGUAGGGAAGCCGCUAAGCAGGC